AGCAGCCGCGGUAAUUCCAGCUCCAAUAGCGUAUAUUAAAGUUGUUGCAGUUAAAAAGCUCGUAGUUGAAUUUCGGGGUCAGUAGAUUGGUCGUGCCACUGGUAUGUACUGGUCUUACUGGCUCCUCCUUCCUGAUGAACCGUGAUGCCAUUAAUUUGGUGUUGCGGGGAAACUGGACUGUUACUUUGAAAAAAUUAGAGUGUUUAAAGCAGGCUAACGCUUGAAUACAUUAGCAUGGAAUAAUGAAAUAGGACGUUCGAUCUUAUUUUGUUGGUUUUCUAGGAUUGACGUAAUGAUUAAUAGGGAUAGUUGGGGGCAUUAGUAUUCAAUUGUCAGAGGUGAAAUUCUUGGAUUUAUUGAAGACUAACUACUGCGAAAGCAUUUGCCAAGGAUGUUUUCAUUAAUCAAGAACGAAAGUUAGGGGAUCGAAGACGAUCAGAUACCGUCGUA
rnacentral:rRNA from 1 species